GCGGGGGCUGGUGGCCAGUGGGUGGCCACGCCUUGGGCUGCGUUCACGGGCAUAGCAGGAUGACAGGCCCAGCCCGCUGUCCUGGUCUGCUUCUUGGGGGACGACAGGCUUGCACCCCCCUCCUGGUCAAGUGUGGAAAGACAAUUGUACAUUCUGAACCACUUGAACAAGAGAGUUGCCAAAGCCACUGAGCCAGGCCACAACCAUCUGCUGCUGGCAGAGAGUGGUGCAUGAUAAUGUCAUACCAGAGGGGCUCACAGAGGGCCACAUAGCAAUCCAGGGCCAUAGCAACCAAGACAAUGCAUUCAGUGCACUACAACCAGUGGGAAAUUGCAUACUGCACUGUGCAGCCUCCGUAGCUGAUGGUCUUCUCGGAGCUGCCCAUGUUGAACAGUAUCUAGGGGACCAUGGUGGUGGUAUAGCAGAGGUCCACAGGAAGGACAGGUGGCUGAGGAAGAUGUACAUGGGGCAGUGGAGUUGGGGAUCCAGGCGGGACACCAGCAUGAUGGAAAUAUUUCCCAACAUUGCCAGAACGCAGGAUACCAGGAGGACCACAAUAGAGGGAGCUCCAGCCAUGGUCGGCCAGAAACACCCAGAAGGAUGAAGUCUGUCAGGGGAUCCCCCAAGGCACUGUGGUUGUCACUUCUCAUGCUGAGGCAUUUGCUGGUCACUGUCAAGAGGUUCAAAUAAAUAACUCCUGAGAUACAUAGUGAAAUCGUUUUCUGAUGCCAGUGUCUUCUCUUUCUUUGUUACAACCCCGUCUUACCCUGCUUAACUGUGUCAAGACACUUGGAUGUGGAGAAGUCAGAAGCAAAGCCAGAAGAGCAGCAUGCAGUUCUUAGUUUCUCUUUCUCUUUGUGAUCUUAACUGUGUAGUCUCUCAAAACUUCACUUUCUGCAUCUGUUAA